rnacentral:rRNA from 1 species
CCCUUAGAUGUCCGGGGCUGCACGCGCGCUACACUGACGAAUGCAACGAGCUUAUAACCUUGGCCGAAAGGUCUGGGUAAUCUCCAAAUUUCGUCGUGAUGGGGAUAGAUUAUUGCAAUUAUUAAUCUUCAACGAGGAAUGCCUAGUAAGCGCAAGUCAUCAGCUUGCGUUGAUUACGUCCCUGCCCUUUGUACACACCGCCCGUCGCUCCUACCGAUUGAAUGGUCCGGUGAAGCGUUCGGACCGUGGCCUUUGGACGGUUCGCCGUCUGUUGGCUGCGGGAAGUUCGUUAAACCUUAUCAUUUAGAGGAAGGAGAAGUCGUAACA